rnacentral:rRNA from 1 species
UGGGGGAUAUUGCACAAUGGGGGAAACCCUGAUGCAGCGACGCCGCGUGAGUGAAGAAGUAAUUCGUUACGUAAAGCUCUAUCAGCAGGGAAGAAAAUGACGGUACCUGACUAAGAAGCCCCGGCUAACUACGUGCCAGCAGCCGCGGUAAUACGUAGGGGGCAAGCGUUAUCCGGAAUUACUGGGUGUAAAGGGAGCGCAGACGGCAGUGCAAGUCUGGAGUGAAAGCCCGUGGCUUAACUACGGGACUGCUCUGGAAACUGUGCAGCUAGAGUGCAGGAGAGGCAGGCGGAAUUCCUAGUGUAGCGGUGAAAUGCGUAGAUAUUAGGAGGAACACCGGUGGCGAAGGCGGCCUGCUGGACUGUAACUGACGUUGAGGCUCGAAAGCGUGGGGAGCAAACAGG